GUAAGGGACAGCAGUAAUUCCAGGACCUAGGGAAGAACACUUUAGACCCCGGGAAGUGCUUCAGGAAGGGGAGGAAUCAGUGCUCCCUUCGUCCUCUAGAUCCAGCGCUGCACCUUGGCAGAACAACUGUAUGGUCCACCUGGGUGAGGCAAGCAGCAGCUGCAGCUGAUAAUCCGACCUCCGCUGGGUUUCUCCUUGCUGUCCCUGUGUUACGGUAACAGAAAAUUCACGUGGAUAUGGAAGGCCCUGAACUAUUCUCCUUUGCCUAGCGUCUCUUCAUGAGGGUAUCAAGACAUGGACCGGCACAACUCUGUUUCAACAUUAGAGAUAUAAAUGCAUGUUACUCUUGAUGUCCAAGUGAUUGUGGGCCAUUUUAUGUGUAAAAAUCAAGGCUGCAACUACUCAGUGACACUUGCCCAUGUGAUACAGGCAAAACAAUGUCAUGGUAAUCCAAAUCAAGUCUAACCAUAAAUCUAAACUAAAGUGACCUGUGUCUCUUUGUUUCAUGUGCUUGUAUGUAAAGAAGAACAGGCCGUGGAAUAUCUCUCGGUCGGGGUGGGGAUUUCCAUUCGGCUCACCUACUGUCCCUGCAGUCACUGACACCACCACCAGAGAUUAACAGCACUAUACUCCUCUGGGCCAUUUUGCUGUCCGUGACAUAAGACCUGACUGUUCACACCAUACAGAAACCUUCCUAGGUGGAAACUUACCUACAACACUGCCUCCUAAAAUAAGACAUCCCUCUGUUUAUCCUGUGCCAGUUACUGUUUUACUCUUAAUUCUUCUCUGAAAGCAUUUACAAUCAUCUACAGGCCAAAAUGCUUUGUCUUUAUGGAGAUUCAUGGAAAAGAUCCUGACAAGCACUCUAUAAUAAAGGCAUCUGAUAACUUUAAGAUCAUACCACUUCAAACUGAGUAAGGAUGGAGAACUCUAAUGGAGAAACUAUUUAAUUCAUAAAACUGCUAACCCAAGAUCAAGCAAAACAAGAAUUAACUACAUGGGACCAAAUGAACUGAUGAAGAUAAUUAUGAUUUUUAUGACUUCGUUUGAAACACUGUUGGUUCUUUAAUGUCUG